GUUGCCCGAGUUGGUCUAAGGGGGAGGACUUAAGAUCCUCUGGACUUCCGUCCGCCUGGGUUCGAACCCCAG
rnacentral:tRNA from 12 species